CAAACGGUCCUAUUUAGGACCACAGAAAAUCUUUCCUACAGAGAGAGU
rfam:Aedes albopictus isolate Foshan contig105967, whole genome shotgun sequence.